rnacentral:lncRNA from 12 species
AUGCCCGCGUGUCCUGAGGAGUUUUGGGGUCCCUUUGGGCCCCCCUCGGGAGCUGAUCCCAGUGUGUGUCCUGAGGAGUUUUGGGGUCCCCUUCGGGAGCUGAUCCCAGUGUGUGUCCAGAGGAGUUUUGGGGUCCCUUUGGGAGCUGAUCCCAGUGUGUGUCCGGAGGAGUUUUGGGGUCCCUUGGGCCCCCCUCGGGAGCUGACGCCCGCGUGUCCCCGCAGCUCCGUGUACGAUGGGGAGGAGCACGGGCGCUUCAUGGAGAAGUUGGAGGCUCGGAUCCGGAACCACGACCGGGAAAUUGAGAAAAUGUGCAACUUCCACUACCAGGGCUUCGUGGAUUCCAUCACCGAGCUGCUCAAGGUCCGCGCCGAGGCCCAGAAACUCAAGAACCAAGUGACCGACACCAACCGGAAGCUGCAGAACGAAGGGAAAGAGGUGAGUGAUGGAUGCAGAGCAGGAAUUCCAGCCUGGCUGCCCUGGGAGGGACAAUUCCCUGGCCUUGGAUCCCUGCUUUGCCAUUUUCCACAUCCCAGCAUUUCUCCUGGAGCCUCAGCCCUGAAAAAUCUCUGGAUUUUGGGAAGUGAGAAUUCCCUCUCUGUAUCCUUGUUUUUCCCUUGUCCACCACAUCCGCCAGGUUUUCUCCUGGCAUCUGAACCCUGAAUAAUCUCUUUUAGUUUUGGGAUGUGAGCAUUCCCUGUCCAACCUGUCCUGGUAUCCUUGAUUUCCCCUUUUCCACGUCCCCAGGAUUUUCUCUUGGAACCUGAACACUGAAUAAUCCCAGCCCUGCCAGAGUCAGAAUCCAAGCUGACACCCGUCAGUCAGUCAGGGUGUUGGCAGCAGUCCCAUCCAAUGGUGGCUGCAUCCUCCUGCAGGGGCAGAUGUGGCUCAGCUGGAGCAGGGCUCCUGGAGAAGGUGCAGUUUCCUCUGAAGCUCCAGGGAUGAUGUGCAAAGGUCUGGCUUUCCUCUGGGAUCCAGUGGAAAGAAGGUGCCUUGGUGUCCAAAUGUCAGUUUUUCUCUGGGUAGGAAAGGCUUGGCUCCUGCCCUGGCUGGAGCAUCUCCCAUGGGAUGAUGUAAUUUUAUCAGCCAUGCCCUGGGACUCAGUGGCCAUGAACAGGAGAUAUCUCCUGGAGGGAGGAUGGGCUGUGGGAAGGUAAAGAUGAUUGCCCAGCUGGUUUAAAGAUGGCCAUGAGCAGAUAAUGUGUGCCAGGAGAUCAGGGGCACUGCCCCACCAGGUGGGACAGAAUCCACAUUGCUGGGCACGUCCUGUGCUGAGCCCCAGCCAGGGGGGCACUGGGGGUGUUGCUGGUCCUGAAGGAGUUUCCCAUUUCCCAGCUGCUCCUGGCCAUGGAGGAGCUGCGGCAGUGCCGGCUGCAGCAGAGGAACAUCUCGGCCACGGUGGACAAGCUCACCCUGUGCCUCCCUGGUGAGCAACCCCCACAUUCCCCAGUUUUUUGUUCCUUGUGGGAGCUGUUUGGGUUCCCAGCUGGGUGCUCCUGUCUCAGAGCUGUGGUUUUUUUUUUUUUCUUUUCCCAGUGCUGGAGAUGUACAGCAAGCUGCGGGAGCAGAUGAAAUCCAAGAGGUAAAUUUGGGCUGGGUGGGGUUUUGUGGGAAGAGUCCAAGGAAUUGUUUGGUGCUGGGUAAUCGAAGGGGAAUCUCAGCAGUUCAAAACCAGCAUUUCCAGGUGAAAUUUCCUGGGUUUUGGCUGCUUUUCAGUGGGAACACAAAUGUCAGGGUUUUUCAGUGAUGUUCAUUUGUUUUCUAUGACCAAAGGCUGUUUAUCCCCGAAAUUCCAGCUGGAAUUGCCCAGGAUUUUCCAUGGAUGUGCCAGCUAAAAUUCCCUUAAUUCCCCCUCAGAGUGAUU